rnacentral:rRNA from 1 species
UUAACCUUGAGCUUGCGGUCGAUACGGGCAUGACUGGAGUUCGGCAGGGGAGACUGGAAUUCCUGGUGUAGCGGUGAAAUGCGCAGAUAUCAGGAGGAACACCGGUGGCGAAGGCGGGUCUCUGGGCCGAUACUGACGCUGAGGAGCGAAAGCGUGGGGAGCGAACAGGAUUAGAUACCCUGGUAGUCCACGCCGUAAACGGUGGACGCUAGGUGUGGGGGCCAUUCCACGGUCUCUGUGCCGCAGCUAACGCAUUAAGCGCCCCGCCUGGGGAGUACGGCCGCAAGGC